CCUACGGGCGGCAGCAGUGAGGAAUAUUGGUCAAUGGGCUUACGCCUGAACCAGCCAAGUCGCGUGAGGGAAGACUGCCCUAUGGGUUGUAAACCUCUUUUGUCAGGGAGCAAUUGGCGCUACGUGUAGAGAUAUCGAGAGUACCUGAAGAAAAAGCAUCGGCUAACUCCGUGCCAGCAGCCGCGGGAAUACUGAGGAUGCGAGCGUUAUCCGUAUUUAUUGGGUUUAAAGGUUGCGUAGGCGGAAUGCCAAGUCAGGGGUAAAAUGGCGGGGCUCAACCUCGCUCCGCCGUUGAAACUGGCGUUCUUGAGUGGGCGAGAGGGAUGCGGAAUGCGUGGUGUAGCGGUGAAAUGCAUAGAUAUCACGCAGAACUCCGAUUGCGAAGGCAGCAUACCGGCGCCCAACUGACGCUGAAGCACGAAAGCGUGGGUAUCGAACAGGAUUAGAUACCCGAGUAGUC
rnacentral:rRNA from 1 species